CCACCCCCGGGCGCCACCACCCGGGCCAAAUCGGUCAGAGCGGCGCGGCCGGGAGAGGGGGAGGGCUGCGGCGGGGUUGGCGGGGAAGUGGCUGCACUGCCCGUGGCCAGGAUGGGGCUGCGCAGUCCUUGGCCCCAUCACCACCAGCCUCCACCCUGGGUCCGGGUUUGUCUCUCCGCACCGGGUGGGGGUUGUGCAGUGCCCACUUCCCGAGACCUACCGGGUUAACGGUCACUUGGAGGCAGCAGAUAUGUGAAGGAGGCAGGGCAAACACAUAACCCCAGCCCCAGGAUCCAACCCGUGUCCAUCUCACCCGGCAAUGACUGCUCCCCUUAAACACAGAGAAGGAAAUUAACUCCGCUCUAAUUAGGUGAGUUUGCUACAGACACCAAUUCUCAUCUCGGUUGCAGAAAGUGUGAUCAUUUCAACUAUUUUUGUUUCUCACCACCCUCCCCCCAUCCCUACUCUACUAACAAGUCAAGAUCCUGCCAAGAUUUCCUUGUAAAUAAAACUGUCGGCAUAGGGUGUGAUUUUGAAAACAGCCUUCAGGGGACAGAAGAGAGGCUGACUCCUUUGUGGAAAGAAGCCCCAAGGUACCAGCGGUGGCAGGGGGCCCCCAGGAACAUUUCACCGCCCUUCGCCAUGGUGUUUCCAAAAGUCUCCUAGGAAAAUUCCCGACCUCUAACCAGCAGCCUCCCUUCAGGACAAUGCUACCCUUUCCCCAGCCCCUGCUGGAAGGAGACUGGCCAUCUGGACUUGGAGACGAGGAAUCCCCUAGUCGUGUUUGAAGUCUGCAAGUCCGAACAGCGGACGCAGCUCAGGGAGGAGACUGCCACUUGGAAUCCAACCCCUCCAUCCCCAGCUCCAGCAUUCUUCCAUUAUUGCCCGCUGUCUUCCAGAUCAAACAGAACAAGACUGCCAAACCAAUUUUUCCCCCCUUUCCUUUCGUCUCUUCCUUUCUCACUCCAGGGUCCCCAAUUUUCCGAGUAACUUAAAUCAUUCCUGAAAGAUGUCUAGGUUCACAGACACCAAACCCUUUCAAAGAGAGGCGUGGGUGCCCAAAAGUGAAGCUCAGAAAAGAAGAGAGGAAACUUUCCAGUUCCAAGAUUUAGCCAAUCACAUAUUCAGGGAAACUACCAGCUGCUUUGCCAGGUCUCAUCUUCCCUCUCUGCCAUCUCCUUGGGGCUUGGCUGGUCCCCAGGCUCCCGUUUCUGGAUUCUCUUUGGGCCUCCAACACUCUGUGUGACCUGAGGUUCUGCUAUACGUAGGUCCUGCCUCCUCAGUAAACAGCCUGGUCAGCCGUGCACAUCUCUCUGAUGAACGUUUCCUCCUACCGGAAGCCCUCCCUCACUCCCCAACCCAAACGGACCACCCCUUCCUCUGAAUCCCUUUCUUCUUUUGACCUUGCAUUAUAUUACCUACAUUUUAUCUUCCUUGUAUGAGAACGUAUAUUCCUUGAAGGAGAGGCUGUGGCUUAUUCGAUUUUGCGACCAUCACAAUACACAACAUUGCACACGGUAGGAGCUGAACAAAUGUCUGUUUAAUGAAAAACAGAGCAUGUCUCUUGAUAUGACACAAAGUCUAAUUACAUAGUUAUUACUCUCAACCCCCAACAAGAAACAAGUUUAUGUUAUGGAGAAAAGAUUCUUCUGCGUAAUAAAAAUACAAUUAUAUGCCUGCUGCCUUUAUUAGAAAACACUUCCAUAUUUAUCAUUUCAUUUCAUCCUCAAAAAGCCGGCCUUUUUGAGGUGAGCAGGACAAGUACAACUGCCUCCAUUUUACAAGGGGGGAUCCUAACAUCCCUGAGCCCAGAGGAGGUUUGAUUUUACACUCCUCUCACCACAUUUCUUAUUUCAAGAAGGAAAGACAAAAGCUCCCGAUGUGUUAAAUGCCUUGGCCCGGACCACUGUCUGCAGUGACUUUCUCCCAGGACAGCUGGGUGGGGCUAAAGUGGGGUGCCCAAGUGGGGCUUGUGUAGCUACAGGCUGUAUGGCUCAGAAACUUUGGGGAUGUCUCUGGCUUUAGAGUAAAAGCCAUUGGUAUGUUUAUCAGCUUUGUUCCUCUUAUGGUACGGUGCAAUCAGUGUCCCCAAAGGAGGGAGAAAGGUUUGCUCUUGUUCACCACCACACUGCACCAGGCAUGAGGGUGUUCGCAAGAGCAGAGUGGAAGAAACGUACAUUCUGGGAGGGCCAGGGGCCAUGUGCCACGAGGCCCGUGGUAGACCUUUCCACUAGAGUGUACGUUCAUGGAGGGCAGGGACUUGGUUUGUUUGCCUAUAGCAAUACCUUAACUCCUAGAACAAUUCCUGGCACAUCGAAGGUUCACAAACAGUAUUUGCUUAAUGAAUGAACCUGUGCUAUUUAUACUUCUUCAGGCCUAAGGAAGGCCUCCCAGAGGUCAGAAUUCCUGGGAAGUCUGCCCAGUGUGUGGCCCCCUAGGACUUCCUCAGCCUCCGUUGGGGAAGAAUGUCAAUUAAUCCGGCACCGUCUCCCAUGAGGAGUUCCCGUGAAGAAUGCCUUGGGGUCCACGAGGCAGGCUUUCUGAUGAUGAGGAUGUAGCAGCAGCAGCGGCAACAGCAAAACAUCCUGGAGCUCCAUAUCCAGCACGGAAAGAGGCAACAGUGCUGGGGAGACAGCCGUGAAGAGAAAUGCGGCAGCGGCGGCCACAGCAGCCGCAGCUGCCUGGAAACACCAGGCAGAGGAGUGAGACGAUGGGCACUCAAACCUGCUUCCUCCAUCUCUCAGCCGCACGGCGCAAGUGAGGCUAUGUGAGAACUGCUCAGUGCACACUGUAAAUACCAUCUGCCACACUGCCCGCCCAGACGCAGCCGCCCUCCCUGGAAGGGAAGCAUUCUUUAUUAUUUAUGCAGAAUGCACCCUACUUAAAUGCUGUGCCACCACGAGAGGGAGAGGAAAGCCUGUAAGAGUCAGGGACUCCAGGGACCUACCCCUCGGCUAGCAGCUGGUCAGGAGGGCUUGGCAGUCAUGUUUCUGGGGUGGGAGUGUAACUCUCAGCUUUCCUGGGAAUUAGGAGGCCUGCAUUCUAGUCCUAGUUCUGCCACCAGCUUGCUGUGUAACCUUGGGCAAAGCACCUCAACCCUGUGGGGCUCCGUUUUCUCAUCUGUAAAUGGAGAGUUCAGACUAGAUGGCCUCUGACAUCUCUUCCAGCUCUUAAAUUCAGCUGGCAUCACUCAACCCUACUUCCUCUUGCCGCUGGCCCAGAAGCCUGUUCAUUUCCCAUCAGCCCUUCCACCCAGGCUGGACCGGGGAAAUAGAGAUCAGGAUGUGAGCGUACUUGCCAGCAGGCCCGGGAGUCAGAAGACCUGGGUUGUUAUCCCAGCUCUGUCACCAUUUAGCCCUGUGACCCUGGGGAAGGCAGGGUUUCCUUACCUUGAUUUUGUCUUUUGUGAAACAAGUGGGUGGGACCAGGAGAUUUCAGUAGGAGAAUCCAUAUCUAAAUCCCGCCAUCUCUGAUUUUCCCUUCCAAAACACUGCCGGCAAACAUCUUUACAGAUUGAGCCUCCAGAGACAGAGAUGAAUGAGACGUAGUCUCUGCCCUCAAUGAGCUCUAUCUAAGACAGGUGGAGAAGACAUGCUAAAAAACACUGCAGGUACAAUGUGAUAGGUACUGAGUAGAGAGGCGUGCAAAGCAUGUGGUGGUCACUCUGUGUGACCUGAGGUUCUGCUAUACGUAGGUCCUGCCUCCUCAGUAAACAGCCUGGUCAGCCGUGCACAUCUCUCUGCUGAACGUUUCCUCCUACCGGAAGGCCUCUCUCACUCCCCAACCCAAACGGACCACCCCUUCCUCUGAAUCCCUUUCUUCUUUUGACCUUGCAUUAUAUUACCUACAUUUUAUCUUCCUUGUAUGAGGAAAGAGGGUCCAAGUGGGUGAUACUGGAGCUGAAUCUUAAAAGACAAAGUAGGAAUUCGCCAGGCAGAUGAGGCUUGAUGCAUUCAAGACAGACAGAACUGCAUGUUCUAAGGCAGGAAGGUGUGAAUCUGCAUAGAAACUGCCCGCUGGUUGUUAGGGUGAUGGUGACACUCUGGGAGUCUUUGCAUUGAUUGCUUCCUCUCCCACUCCUUUGGAACAAUCCAGUACUCCUUGGAUAGGGGUGAGAGGGCUUAUGGUUGAUAGCUCAGCUUGGCCUCCCAGUCCAUGAAGCACAUCACCAAGGAGAUGGGAGACUAAUGAGAGUCUUCCCUUCUAGCUCCUGCCUCCUCUGAACUAGAAUCAGUGAAGCAGGUUGGAAAUAGGGGGCUGGCUCAAGUGACCCCAAGGUGAUCCACAAUUCUCCAGCUUUGCACACCAUCAGGCUGGGUUAGAGGAGGAACGUGGCUCUGUGCAAAAUGGGGCCCAGUGGCUGGCGUGGGCAAUCUGGGUUUGCUGGGCAUCCUCCCGUGCACAGCCAGAGCACGUGAUCUGUCCUACAGCUGUGGCAGCCUGUUGUGGCUCCUCGGGGAGCUGUCCAAGUCCUCUGCAGAGAGAUGGAGUUAACCUGUCCCUUCUCCGUGAAGGACGUCCUGCAACGGAAAUGCGCUUUUCCCCCUGGCCUCUCAAUCUGGUUUGCUGCAGCUCUGGUCUGCAGCUCACAAGCUGCCUCGGCAUACUCCAAAACACACAAGAACAGCAGAGAGGAGAAACACAGGCAUCCGAGGCAUCCAUUAGCUGGGAGCAGCCUCAUAGGCUGCAAGCCACGGGGUUAACCAGGCUCAGGGAAAGCCUGUGAAGCGCCGGUAAGCAUUCUGCCUGCUUGGCUUGCUGCAACAAUUUAUAUCCAAGAAAAAGGGGCUGCAAGUCAGGGAAUUACCAGAAAUGCUGAAGGAACAGGCACAUUUGCCAGAUGGUUCCUGGGGCAUGACUGUAUUUGCAGAGGGACUAUCUGCAGGGGGAGGUCCUUUCAUUGGAGAGCAAAGGCGCUAGCUGAUGGCUCAUUCAUUAUCCUCGGGCUCGUUUGGAGGAGGGUGGUGGCUUGAAUCACACCCACGCUCGUCCUCUCUUCCCAGAACCUUGAAGCUGUGUUUGCCUGAGGUUGCAGUGACGUUCAGGAUUGGGUCUCUCCGAACACUCCAAGCCCUGCUUCUUUAGACACCCGCCACCUCUAUCUUCUUUCCUAGCUGAAGCCAGUUCACCCAUUCUCCCAACUGCCAGCUGUCAUUCUCUCUCCUUCAUGUAACUGACCGCAUUCAGUCAAUUACACAGGUCGUGCUGUGAGUUCAGUCGUGCUGCCGGGGCUGAACUAUGCGGCCAUAGGGACAAGGCUGGGAGGGGGUAAGUGGGUUUGAAAAUAUGAAUAACUGGAAAGGCAUUUGAAAUUAUUUGCUACAUUAGCACAGAAUCUUCAAGAUCUCAUUGCUUUUCCCUAACAACAUGUGUAUCUGCCUUUGUCUUCCUCCAUGAAACUACAGACUGUGAACAGUAGGGGCUACGUCUGCCAUGGCUUUGCAAGCACUCCAGAUAGAUUAGUGGUCAUACAUCAAUCACGCAGAUGCCCCCAAAAACCUUGGUCAUGGGGGAGAUGAGGUGAGGGCAAGUGGGCAGUCAACACAAAGCAUCACUCCUGCAGAGCCCCAGGAUGCUGUCUCACUAGUGGUCGGUGGCCUCCCCCCUGCAGAAGGCCAGCAUCACAGCAGCAGCAGCAGGCUGUGUGUCACAAGGGUGCCCACGUAUUAGGGGACCUGUAAUCAUUUGUCCGUUUGUUGUACCUUCUGUGUUAUAUCAUGACCUCCACAAGGACAGGAUGCCUUUGUAAUCACGUCACUAUCUCUGAGUACUACGCUGACAGCAUGGUGUCUAGGGGUUUACUGGAAAACACACAAAUUUAUUCAUACAGACCUUGACUUGCAUUUGGCAGGAUAGCCUUCAGCCAGUUAGUUCACUCAGGCUCAGUAAGACUCACUUUCCUGGGAUUUAAACAAGGCUAAUAUGACACAUCUUGCUAGGAUGUCAGUAAAAAGGAUGGGACAGAGCAGCUCUCAGUAAGCCUCAGUUCCCCUCCCUUUUACCCCUGGAUAGUCAAUAUGUGGUGUUGAAUAAAUGAAUAAAUUAUUUCGGAGAUGAAUACACUUUGGCAUCUUUCUUGGAUACAUUCACAUUCCAAAAAGCACAUAUAUUGCAGUUGUUUUUUAAAACAAUCCAACACCAAGUCACCAAAUUUGCAGUUUAUAGCAGGAGACAGCCACCCUGUGGGGGCUACAGUGGUUUCCCACAGAUGGAGAAGUACCUCUGUUUGUUUAUUUUUAAAGGAAAAUACAAAGAAACUACCUUGGAAAACACCACCACAGGACUUUGUGUUCGAUCUCUUUCAUCUCUCCUCUUGCCAUGAGAGGCACAUAGUUGGUGCCUAAUAAAUGCACACCAAAGGCUUGGCCUUCUGAGAGGCCUUGAAGCUGCAAGACUGGCUGGGAACCACGUGAAGUCCUGGAGACACAGUGUCCUCUGGUGGGAAGGAACAGCCAUAACACCCUGCAGAGCUGACCAAGACACGCCAAGCCCAGGGCGGGUGGCUUCCCUGAAAUGCCCUGGAUUAGCCCACAGUGCAGCCAGCAGGGCAGACUUGCAGGGCUGUCCCCAUGACUGGGAAAUAACAAACAAACAACACAUUUUCCAGGAAAUGCUUCUCUGAAUGUACUACUCAGAGACAGCCAUUGCAGCCACAUGCGUUCCUUAAAAUUCAUUAGGCAUCUGUCAAUGGGGUCUCAGCAAUGAUUCUAAGCUGCUAACCUCACAGAAAGGAACCAGACUCUCCCUGUCUCUGAUGGAAACGCACAGCACCACCUAGGAAGGAUUUCUGCCACAAAACUGAACCUGAGUCUGACCAAGUCUCUAGAUCUAACCACCAAUUUACAAGAAACUGGUAGAUAACAAAUAAAUAACCUUGCAAAGGAACAUGCUGAACCCACCACAAGGAGGUGAUCACAAAAUCCAGACCAUGGGAAGCUCUACAGGACAAAUGACCUGGUUUCUGCAGCAAUAAAUUACAAAGGAGACGGGAAGAGAUGAACCUUUUUUUGGAUCCUGAUUUAAACAAAGUGAAAAAAAAUUUUGUUUAGGCAAUUGGGGGAUUCUGAACAUUAUAUAUUUCAUCUUAAGAAAUUGUUCAUAGGGGCCAGCCUGGUGGUGCAGUGGUUAAGUUUGCACAUUCCACUUCGGCGGCCCAGGGUUCGCUGGU